rnacentral:rRNA from 1 species
CCUACGGGAGGCAGCAGUGGGGAAUAUUGCGCAAUGGGCGCAAGCCUGACCCAGCAACGCCGCGUGAAUGAAGAAGGCUUUCGGUUUGUAAACUUCUAUUAACAGGGACGAGCAGAAAACGUUACCUAUUAAAUAAGACACGGCGAAAUACGUCCCAGCAGCCGCGGAAAUACGUAGGUGGCAAGCUUAGUCCGGAUUUACUGGGUGUAAAGGGCGUGCAGCGGGGAAGACAAGUCAGAUGUGAAAUCCCGCGGCUCCAGCGCGGAAGUGCAUUUGAAACUGUCUUUCGUGAGUACCGGAGAGGUCAUCGGAAUUCCUAGUGUAGCGGUGAAAUGCGUAGAUAUAAGGAAGAACACCAGUGGCGAAGGCGGAUGACUGGACGGAAACUGACGCUGAGGCGCGAAAGCGUGGGGAGCAAACAGGAUUAGAUACCCUUGUAGUC